UCAUUUUGUUGAAAUAACUGACCGAUAUUUCGGAAGUGUCUGCGAGCUGGACUUGAUCUUCAAUUUCCAUAAGGCUUAUUAUAUAUUGGAUGAGCUUUUAAUUGCUGGUGAACUUCAGGAGACUAGCAAGAAAACAGUAGCACGUCUGAUUGCUGCACA